rnacentral:lncRNA from 1 species
GAGGUUGAAGGUGGACUGAGAGAAUGAUGAGCUCACAUUGGUCCUUGGGAAUCCCGAGCACCCAAGAUGUUGCCGAGGGUACAGGGUCAUUCCGUGGAAGUACGCUUUUCGAGGUGACAUAGAAUCGUAUAGAAGCAGCAAGCGAAGAAAGGAACAUCAAUAGGAGAGUUGGCGGUGCAUGUUGAAAUCCAAUGUGCAUUCACAAGAAGUACGAAUGCAGGAGGAAAUCAAUUGUCGAUUGCCCUGGCAGUCGCCGAGUUGGCCCAAUCUGGAGCACUGCCGGAUCCAAACGUCGUCAGCCCUUCUCAACGCCUCGGGAGCUGCUGUGCUUCCACAAGAGUCCCCUAUCUGCAGACGUGAAGAUUACCCGUGGACGAGCAACGGUUCCCUGUGGAUGUCAUCACACAAUGCA